rnacentral:rRNA from 1 species
UACGUAGGGGGCAAGCGUUGUCCGGAAUCAUUGGGCGUAAAGAGCGUGUAGGCGGUCCGGUCAGUCGGUUGUGAAAGUCAAGGGCUCAACCCUUGAAUGCCGGCCGAUACUGCCGGGCUAGAGUCCGGAAGAGGUGAGUGGAAUUCCUGGUGUAGCGGUGAAAUGCGCAGAUAUCAGGAGGAACACCUAUUGCGAAGGCAGCUCGCUGGGACGUAACUGACGCUGAGACGCGAAAGCGUGGGGAGCGAACAGG